rnacentral:rRNA from 1 species
AGUGAACGCUGGCGGCAUGCCUAACACAUGCAAGUCGAACGGCAGCACAGUAAGAUUUUGCUCUUACGGGUGGCGAGUGGCGGACGGGUGAGGAAUACAUCGGAAUCUACUUUUUCGUGGGGGAUAACGUAGGGAAACUUACGCUAAUACCUCAUACGACCUACGGGUUGAAUCAGUGAAGCUUGGCGCCUUUCGCGUUUCUAUGAGCCGAUUCCGUGUUGGAUUAGCUAGUUGGUAAGGUAACGGCUCACCAAGGCGACGAUGCGUAGCCGAUCUGAGAGGAUGAUCAGCCACACUGGAACUGAGACACGGUCCAGACUCCUACGGGAGGCAGCAGUGGGGAAUCUUGGACAAUGGGCGCAAGCCUGAUCCAGCCAUACCGCGUGGGUGAAGAAGGCCUUCGGGUCGUAAAGCCCUUUUGUUGGGAAAGAAAAGAAGCAGGUUAAUCCACCGAUGUUCUGACGGUACCCAAAGAAUAAGCAACGGCUAACUUCGUG